rnacentral:misc_RNA from 1 species
CAGGCUUCUUCUUCUUCUUCUUCUACUAUGCCGUUUGCAUCUCCAAAAUCUCGAUUUGCUUCAAAGCAAGAACAGUUCUUCCCACGCUGCACUCCAAGAAACUCAGGCCCUCAAUCUCAUGACUCUCCACCAAAACGAGACACUGGUAUUGCUAACGAGAAAGAGUGGGGCAUCGAUAUGCUAAACGAGAAUGUCAAUGAAUCUGGGACUAACGAAGAUGGUAGUACUUGGUAUCGAAAGAGUGGAGAAAACAUUGGUG